UGGGGCAUGGCCAAGCGGUAAGGCAACGGGCUUUGGUCUCGUUAUUCGGAGGUUUGAAUCCUUCCGUCCCAG
rfam:Amborella trichopoda AMTR_V1.0_contig_32911, whole genome shotgun sequence.